rnacentral:antisense_RNA from 1 species
CUUCACCGCGCCGAGCCACAGCGGGUUCUCCGCCCCGCGGUCCCGGCCGUAGGUGGCGAGCAGCGCCUGGGCCUC